rnacentral:lncRNA from 1 species
AUUCUGCAUCACCUCUUGUUUCUAGCCUCACUUUCAUUCCAGCAGCUUCUCGGGUGUGGCUGUGGCUGUGGCUGUCUGGCUUCCCUUCUAUUGAUACCUCUGGCAGCCUUUGAGGGAUGAGAGGGCGUGGGGGUUUCCACUGCAAACAUGAGGGAGUAGGUUGAGUGCUUCGUUGUUGAGGUGAGCUUCCCUGAUGGGGUUGAACCCUGUAUAUCAGAAAGAAGCCCAACCACCCUUUUGCUAUUUCAUAGUGAAGCAUUGCAUUGAAUCUCCUGGAGCAGACAUAAAUGAAUGUUGUGGCUCUGGAGUGGUAAAAGAGAUUGCAAACAAACAGUCUUCAUAUCUCCUGGGGGUGCUUUUUACUGAGCUAACAUAGCUAAGCUGGAAAUGUGUUUUCUAGUAUUCCAUUCUCUGUGUGUUGCUGGCCACAAAGAGACUUGUGUGUCUAAGUCUUGGAAGAUGUAAGAGAAGGAGCUGCCAUUUUGUGUGCUCUGAGGUGGGUAAAGGGCACCAGAUGCUGUGGCAGCUCACACAGGUCUGUCAUCUGCUAGCCUUGCCUUGCGGGUGGGGCCAUAUCCUGAGCCUCGCACAACCUCAGCUCCCACUGGAUCUCUUCCUUCAGCUCCUCUGAGCCCUGGGCCAGAUGUGUGUACAGCUCCAUGGUGAAAGCCACCAACUUUUCCAGUAGGUCUUCUGCAUCUUUUGGGUGGGAGGUGGUGAGAAAGAGAGGUGGGCUCUAUUUCAUCCUUUUGAGGGGAAAUGGGAAAAUACCUCUUGUCCUCUACUUCCUCAAUUUCACACCCAACUCUCCUUCCUAACUCCCAGUCCAGGCGAUAUAGAACAAAUUCAGCCCAGUAUCAGAUACUACCUUUACAGAGAUUUCACAACCAGUCUCACCAUUGUGCAGAUCCUAAUCCCUGUUAUAAAUUCUAUAUAUUGGUUCUGUUUCUCCAAUUGAACCCUGACUGAAAAAGCUCUUCAUGGCUACUGUUGCCUGCGAAUUUUAUCUCUUGAAUUAGUAGAUGGUUAUACUGCUCUGCCAGGACUGUUUGACUUCCUGAACAGAAAGCGUAAAUGGUAAAGUGUGGAUUGUGAUUAAAUCAUUGAUGACCUACUACAGGUUGGUAGUUUGUUCUGUCUGAAUUGCAUCUUAAAGAAGCUCAUUGAAAUGUCUUAUAUGGUGACAUACUUCCUUUUCUCCAGUGUUAUUUAAUGUUCUCUUAUUUUUAUAGCCCUUGACCUUAGCCUUUUAUUUAAAGCUACUGAGGGGCUUAGAUUACUGUUGCCAUUUUUCUUGGGAUUAUGCUAAUCCAGGUUUUCAUUUUACUAUGUCAAUCUCCACUUACAUUUUUUUUAACUCUGCUGGUUUCCUUUAUAAAGUCACUAUCUCUUCUUCUUCUCUUAAUUUGCGUCCCUUAUUUCAGAGACAAUGAUUUCAUUUUAUUUCACUGAGUGAGAGAAGCAAAUGUCUAAAAUUUACAUUUUGCUUUCUGUAGAAAGCUCCUUUCUAAAAUCUGCGUUUUUCUUUACCUCUGGCAUGCUGCAUUCAUUUCCUUUUUUAUGCUGCAGAAUUUCUGUGUUUGCGCCCCCAUCCUGUGAGUGAGUGUUCUCUGGCUUCCCUCCCUGUUCCCAGGAAUGCUAUGGGACUUCAUCUUUCAUAUGCUUACUGGUGAAGGCUGCUGCAUGAUGACUUUGUAGGCUGAGGGAGUGGAGAAAAAGGUGAGGCUGGGAGCACUCUAAAAAGAAGAAUUUGGUGUUUGUUCUGUUGACUCCUUCUUUCUUAUACAGGAGGGCAGUUCUCUUCUUGUAUUCCUUUGUUUUUGGUGUGUUGUUUGUGUGUUUGUUUUUUGUUUAUUUUGACACAAAGUCUUGCUCUGUCGCCCAGGCUGGAGUGCAGUGGUGCGAUCUUGGCUCACUGCAACCGCCUCCUCCCGGGUUGAAGCGAUUCUCCCACCUCAGCCUCCAGAGUAGCUGGGAUUACAGGUGUGCACCAUAACACCCGGCUAAUUUUGUAUUUUUAGUAGAGCCGGAUUUUCACCAUGUUGGCCAGACUGGUCUCAAACUCCUGGCCUUAAGUGAUCUGCCCAUCUCGGCCUCCCAAAGUGCUGGGAUUACAGGCGUGAGCGACCGUGCCCGGCCACUUCUUGUAUUCCUUUGUUCAGCAUGGCCUCUUCCUCAGGUCUUCGAUGUGGCUUAGUGUCCCUCUCAAGAACUUUUCCACAACAGGGACAGGAUCUCACCACAGCAGAGAGAAUCAGAAUCAGUGAAAAACACCCAUGCCUGGAGACUUCUUGUUUAGAACGGCCACUCUUGUUUUGAUCCUUCACAUCCCCUCCAAUCUAAUUCUGAAUUUUUUUUCUUUACUGUGGCAAAAUACACAUAACAUAAACUUACAUGUUACCGUUUUUAAGUGUCCAGUUCAGUGGCAUUAAGAACAUGCACAUUGUUUGGCAAUCAUCACGAGUAUUCAUAUUCAGGACUUUAUUCAUCUUCCUCAACAGAAACCCCCCAUACCCACUAAACAACAAGCCCUCAUUUUCCCCUGCCCCACCAGCCCCUGACAACCGCCAUUCUUCUUUCUGUCUCUAGGAAGCUGAUUACUCUAGGUACCUAUGAGGGUGGAGUCAUACAGUAUUUGUUUUUGUGACUGGCUGAUUUCACUCAGCGUAAUGUCUUCGAGGUCCAUUCAUGUUGUGUGAACAUGGAAGCUAUAAAUUGAGGUGUCAGAACCACAAGAUGGAAGUACGUUGGAUUUCUGAGUCACCACCUGGAGGAGAGCUUCCCUGCAGCAUUGCUGGAAUCUGAUGUGAACUAGAUAUUCAUCUUGAUCGUGUUGACUUGAACCUAAUUCAGGCCUAAGACAUAAUAUAUACUGCAUAAUAUAUGCCGUAUAAUGAUAAUAUAUUUAUGCAGCCUUUAUUGAUAUGAGUAGUGGUUUAUCUCAGUUUUAUAAUAAAAAUCUCUCAAAGAACAUUGACUCCAAGGAAUAACAAUCACAAAAGGAUUACAGCUUUGUUUAACACUUUCUGCAAAUCCUUGAAGCUGAUCUUUCCUGUUGUUUCUAAUCCCAAUAGCCAGCCUAAACCUUUUGGUGUAAUCUCAUGUAUUCUGACCUCUGUUAUUUCCUGCUGCUUAAUGAUCUUUCUAUAAAUUGUAUGGGAAAUGAAGCAAAUGUAAUUACAGUGUCUGCCAGCCCUGAUGCAGAUAAAUAGGUGGGAGUCUGGCCAAGUGUCUCCCCAAGCUAGCCUUUGGUGUCUUUCACUCACAGCAGAAAGAAAUAGGUCAUAAAUUACAGCACUGAUUUGUUCCAAUGAUAUCAUUAGCUCCUGGAAAACAAGGAUCAUGAAAAACCCAUUUCAAAUGAACAUAUGAGUCAAUACCAACCAAGCAUCUUUUGGAAAAGAGCCCUUAUAAAUUCAUACUAGAAUUCUGACUCCUAAGUGAAUAUCUCUGGAUCUUCAGAACAUAGAAGACUUAGCUCCAGCCCAUGCAUCAGUCCCUUCAGACCAUAGAGUCAUAACCAGGCCUAUUGAAAGAGCUGGUUACAUGAGACAGUCAGAGAUUUACCUAGGUGAGAAAAUAAAGAUUAGAUGGUUUGAAGCAGAGUUCUAGCCCUUCCAAAUCAGACCUCCAACCCCUUUCUUAAUUCUAUAGUUUGUAGUUUUCAAAGGAGAAGUUGUAAUAAAGAGUAAGUAAACUAACUUCUUUUUUUCUUAUGGUUUUUGUUUGAUAAUAUGAGGAUAAAAGCAUACCCUUUUUUGACCUAUCCCAGGAUAAAAUGCAGGUGGAGAAAAGGUUUUCCGUAUUGUCUUUAGCCUUGACACAACAAAAUAGGAAAAGAUAUUUUCCGAUCUGGGUUGAGUAGAUGCAAAGAAGUGUUUUAAGGUACAUCUGUAGAGCACACUCAGCACUUGGGGACUCAGGUGCCUCAAGAGAAGCUAGAGACCUAAUGUAGGGAUAUAGAGGCCAGGAGGACACACUGGAACACAGAAGAUGACAGCUUUUGAAAGAGCUCAAGAUUCUAAUUUCUUGAACCAGAGGACAGAUUCUCCUCUAUGUCCGUUCACACUUUCAGACUUUACUCUGCAUUAGCCCUCUGUUCCCCACACCUGCUUCUGGACCCCUGGGUGGUUACACACUCUGACUUCAUCAACCCUUAUCCUUAUUGUAGGGAUAUGAAAUUUAAAAUUGGCAUCUUCCACAGCCAAUUCUGGUCACUAUUCUUGUUACUUUAACUGAUAUGCAAUAAAGAAUAUGCCUGACUUUGUCCCUGGUUCCUGGGAAGUAGCAUCAAAACCUUUAGAAUUUCUUAAGUGGUAGGAGUGUCUAUUAUUCAUGGUGAACUCCUGGGAUCAAACUUGAUAGUCUGUGCUAAAGAGAUGACUCAGGACAGGAGCUGGCUGCUCCUGCCAGAAAGACCAACCAUGUGAUUAGAGGGUGGGGCUUUGAGCCAGGUGAUAUCAGCUCAGUCUCCAGGGAGCCAAGGGGAGCUAGAGAUUGAAUUCAACUGCAAGGCCAAAGAUUCCAUCAGUCAUGAUUGUGUAAUGAUACCUCAAUAAAAACUCUGGGCAGCAAAGCUCAGUUGAGCUUCACAGGUUGUUAAUAUUCUGAUAAUGUCACACAUUGAUAUGCCAGGAAGGUAAUGCAUCCUUACUCUUUGGGGAUAGAACAACAGAAGCUUUGUGUUGAACUCCCCUAGACCUCAUUAUAUGUGUAUCUCUUUCCCUUUGGCUGGUUCUGAUGUGUAUCCUUUUGCUGUAAUAAGACUACAACUGUAAUUUAUAGGACUUUCUUGAGUUCCAUGAGUCAUUUUAGUGAAUUAUUAAUCCUGAGGGGGUUAUGGGAACCACCAAAUUUGUAGCAAGCUGGUCAGGAGUAAGAGUGGCCUGUGAGCCUUUGAACUUGUGUCUGAUGUCUUUAGUUUGUGUAGUCUUGUGGAAAACUGUGUCCCUAACCUGUAAAGUAACUGGUGUCAAAAGUCAGUGAAACUAGGCAUAAUUAGAACUCAUGGACAUUCACACCCAUUCCACUUCAGUCACAUGCUUCCGAGGCCUCACUGAGUUCCUUUUACACAUCUAUCUUCUCUACUUUGGUUCUUAUUCCGUAUGAUGGCAAAAAGAAAUACAACUGGACUCUAAGAUGAUGGUGACUCAUGAUGCCUGCUCCCUUCAUUGCUGCAGAUCUUUGGUUCUUAUUAGCUCCUUUUACACAUCUAUCUUCUCUUCUUAUGAAUAAUAUUCCACUCUCUGAUCAUACAAUGACCUAUCCCAGUUAUCAAACCAUUCCUCUCUUUGCACAUAUCCUUUAACCACAAUGAGACAUUUGAACUGUUAACUUUUUCAAAUAUCAGCUUUUGUCUUUCUCAUUAUCUUUCCUGUUCAAACUGAACUCCGUAAGUGAUCUCUUAAAUUAACCUUAUACAAGUAUUCUUGAUCUUCUGUCACUCUUGCCUUUCUGGACACUUGUCACACAAAACCAUACUUAAGAAUUAAUCCUAACAUAUUCCUGAACCCUUCUCACACCUGAUUUGCUGGACAUCUGUUUAAAAUCAUUCAAGUAUGCUAUAUUAAUUGAUAGUCUUUAUUUCAAGUGAUAGAAAAUCUACCCCAUUAUCUUAGGCUAAAAACUGUAAAACACUGAUGAAAGAAAUAAAUCUCAAAUAUAAAUGGAGAAAUAUACUAUGCUUAUGGAUUUAAGCCUCAAUGUUGUGAAAGCUGCAAUUCUUGUUCAAAUUCAGGUAUUCAACCCAAUGUCAAUCAGAAGUCUAUAUUUCUUUUGUAUAACUUGACAAGCUAAUUUCGAAAUUUGCAUGGAAAGGCAAAGCAAAAAAUAGCCAAAAUCACUUUGGAAAUGAAAAACAAAACCAGAGGACUCAUCCUAUCUGAUUUCAAGAUUUACUAUAAAGUUUAUCUAACCAAGACAAUGUGGUAUUAGACAAAUGAUAGACACAUGAUAGACUCUCUGUUCAAUGGAACCAGAGAGUCUAGAAAUAGUAUAUAGUCAAUUGAUUUUCAACAAAAGUGCAAAGACAAUUCAAUAAGUUUUUUUUCCCAGCACAUUGUGCUAGAAAAAUUGGACACUCAUAUGCAAAAGAUAAACCUUGAACUAUACCUUACACUAUAAAAAAGUAUUCAAAAUAGAUCAUAGGCCUAACAUAAAGCCUAAAAAUUUAAUAUUUCUAGAAGAAAACAGAAAAUCCUUGUGAUGUGGGGUUAGGCAAAGAUUUCUUAAAUACAAACCCAAAAGCAUGAUCCAUAAAAUUAAAAAUUUGAUAAAUUAGACUUCAUUUAAAGUGAUAAUGUCUGCUCAUUGAAGGACAUCAUUAAGAGAAUAAAAAGACAAGGCAGAGUCUAGGAGAAAUAUUCGCGAAACGCAUACCUAAGAAAGAACUUGUAUCCAGAAUACACAGAAAACUCUUAAGACUCAAUGAUAAGAAAACAAUCCACCCAAUUAAACAUGGGCCAAAACUGUGAAUAGUUACUUCACCAAAGAAGGUCUAUGAAUGGCAAAUAAGUACAUGAAAAGAAGUUCAAUAUUAUUAGUCACUAAAAUCAAACAACAAUGAGAUGACACUAUACAUUUAUUAGAACAAAGGAAAAAAAACAAUUGCAAAUGCUGGAGAAGAUGCCGAACCACUGGAACUUUCAUACAAUACUGGUAGGAAUGCAAAUAGUACAGCCGUGGUAGCAUUUGAACAAGACAAAGAGACAGAGAUAAAGAAAAAUAGAGACAGAAUGUGUUGAAGAUGGAAAGGAAAGGAAAAAGGCAGAACAGAUAGACUAUUAUUAUUCUUCCUUUCUCUACCUUCCUGUCUGCACCAAUUCCUAGAUCUCACAGAAAGAUGUAACCUGGAGAAAAUGAACAGGCAUAUGAUACAUCCAGACAAUCAUAUACAGCACAUGUGAACUUCACAACAACCUUAUAUAGUUGGGCAGGAUAGUUCUUGUCCUGUUACAGAUAUGAAAUUCACCGAUAUAUGCAACAUAUUUAGUAGACAUCUACAGGGUUCUCCAUGCGCCCCAUAAAUUCUACCUGUUCCAUAAUUAUUUCCUUGGAGGAAAGUCUUUCCUUCAAAGACUCACAAUUCUGUAGGAGGUCAGGGACCAUCCUGUGUUUCUGGCAGAGCUGAAAUGUAUCCUGGACCACAGAAUGGAGGAUGUCCGCAUGGUCUGGGUUGGAUGGAGGCUUGAGUGAAUUAUCACAGCACAGAAAAAUGUUAUUUUCUCUGGACAAUUUAAAAACAGUGGUGACCACUUUCUACUUUUGGUUUCCCCAUGAUGGCAAAAAGAAAUACAAUUGGACUCUAAGAUGAUGGUGACUCAUGAUGCCUGCUCCCUUCAUUGCUGCAGAUCUUUGGUUCUUAUUGUCUAUUAUCUACCUUGUCCCUUCCUUCUAUAAUCUCCCCAGCUCCUGAUAUCUAAAGGCAGGACAUCUCAACUCUCUAUCUUAAACUUAAACCAGUUGCCCAUCUUCCUGCCAUUCAGCUUUUCAAUGUAACCGUCAAGUACCUGCAGCCUUUCUUUUCUGGUUCUGCAUUGGAUGAUUGAUGUUUCAUUGACCUUGUGGAGGAAAGAGGGUACAGGUAAGCAGUAAAGACUCCAGGAUACCAGUGAUGACAUUAUAUGAUGCUAAAGAGUGUGUGUAUGUGCGCGCGCGUGUGUGUGUGUAAUGUGCACAGCCCUUUUUUACUUUUGAGACUCCGAGACCCAGUGAUAAGUGAAUUGAGCAAGGCUGCACUAAGAAGACAACUGCUGCCAUCUUGGGCUUGAAGAGAUUCAUCUUAGAAUACUGAAGGGAGAAUUUUCCCCUCCACCUUUACAAUCCCUGAUUUGGAAAGAUCUUCUCCUGUGAUAAUUAACUGGUCCCAGGCGUUGCCCUACUCAGCAGCAAUGGAUGGAUAGGAGGGAAACCUGGAGAUAAUAAUGGCAGCUUUCAGGGAAUCCCAUCCUGUGAAGACGUUACCUUCAAGACCAGAAAGAAAAGUUAUGCUCUCGUCAUUUUCCUGCAUGUUGGCCCUACUACUCAGCCCUUUACCCCUACCCCAUCCUUCCCAACAAUGAGGAGGUGUUGAGUAACCUUGUUACCUUGUUAAAGAGACUGAAUGAUGCUGCCACCUUUGUCCUAUAAGGAACUACUUGGUUUGAAUUUCUCCAAGUCUAUGCCAAACUCCUGAAUGAGUUUGGCCCGCCUUUGGUUUAUACUGUUUAGCCAGCCCUGCUCUAACUAGGCUCCUGUCCGCCUGAGAAAUAUGUCCCUUUCCAGACACCUGUUUGUCCUCUCCAUAGCCCUGGCAUGACCUGGGCAAUGUGACACCCAGAACAUGCCUGGAUCUGUACCUUAUCACUAACCAAAUCCAUGUAGGAAUACUAACUAUUUGAAUUCCUUAGCUCAGUAUCUGAGUCUGAAUAUGCAUAGAUUAAUAUUUCCCAAAUAAUCUGAUUCCAUUAGCGAUAAUUUGAGAAAUAUCUUGGGACAGUUGGAAAGACUUCAGACCUUUUCCUUAGUCAAACUGCAAUGCUUUCAAAAGUUUUCUAGCACAGUUUGGCCUGCAAACAAAUUUAGUUCAUUUCAGUAGGAGGUAACAAAGCUUUCUGUACCUGCCUUCUUCUGGUGUAGUUCUUGUUUGCACUUUAUUUCUCUGCAAUGUCAUGGGGGGAAGCCAGGUAAUAAAUAGAGACAGAUAGUAAACAGACUCCUAAGUAUUUAAUGGGGUUGGUCGGAUUUACGGCUCCAGUGUCGUAACACAGAAUUACCCAAUUCCUUCAGCUGCUUAGUAAGUUUCACAUUAUCACACAAAUCAAGGGUGACUCUCUUAAAGUUGUGGUGAUCAUCUGAAUGCUUUUCUUCAUUAGAUGUCAAAGUAGGAGAAAGACAACUAUUUUGGAAGGUUCUCAGACGUGAAACACUGGAAGAUAUCUGUGAAUCUACCUCCCACUCUCUAUCACCAUGCCCAGGAAUGUAUUUCCUUUGUUAUAUUGACACUGGCAACUCCCAGAUCUGAUUGCCUUGAUGUAGCCUGGAGCUACGAGAGGUCCUUAGAAUCUGUUCUUGCCAGUGGCCCCUUUGCAGAAUUAAUAAAAAAUCUUAUGCACAGUAAUAGCAAAGCUUUGCUCCCUCUACUUGACUUUUGGGAAAGCUUGGCUCAUUGGUAAACAUGUAAUGUUCUUUAUAUUAAAACAGAGUUCUGAUACUCUCAGAGUUGGGGCAAAUUGUUAGCCUUUCACCAAAACUUGAAAGGCUUUCUACGUUAAGAUCCAAGCUCCUGCCUUAUAAAUAUUCUGAAUUACAGUCAAUUUUGGAAUACUCUUGUGGCAGAGAAAGUAACAUGCACCAAAUAGUCCAGGCUUGUGUUGAGUUAGAGCCAUGCGACAAGUUCUGGCCAAUAAUAUAUGUGUGCGAGUGAUACAUGCCCCUUCUGACAGAAGCAGUGAAAAAUUUAUGAACAAUAUUUUAGUUUUCUUUCCUCUACUAUGGCAACUUAAGUUGUGUGAGCCAGAUAAUGGAGUUUCAGGAUGAUGGUUCCUACUCAGCCUGGGUCCCUGAGUGACUGUAUGGAAUAAAGCUCUGCCGACACUUGUUAGACAUGACCAUGUGUAACAAAUAAGCCUUUGUUAAGCCACUGACCAUUUGGAGUAAUCUGUUACAACUGCAGAACAGAGCAUAUCCUGAUUAACAGAAUUCCUACUUCCCAAAUUUCUGCUUCCUUUCCUGGCUGCAUAAUUUGUCCAAGCUGUCUGUCAUCUACAUACUCCUUUACCCUAUUUAUGGCUUAUACUAUCUCAUCUGACCUUCAUGGUCUAUCCUAAACGUCAUCUCCUUCCCAAGGAUCUCCGGUUUCCAGUUGGAUGGGAUACCCUCCUCUUCUCUGCUAAUAGAAAGAGUAGUAUACCUCUCUUAAGGCAAUCAUCUCAUUUGCUUCUCUUCCUCAUCCAUUUAACUUAGAGCUCCUGGAAGGUGAAGACCAUGUUUGAUUCACCCAAACACCCCAAGGCCCCAGCUGAACAUUUUGUGGUAGCUACAGGUGGAUAUUAUUUAGUUUGAAUUGAGUUUUCUCCUGAGGUUAGCAAUGCGUAGGCCAAUGUAGACAGCAAUGUGAAAUGAUUUUAAAUAAGUUAUCUGCCUGAAACAUAGCAACAGGGAGAGAAGAAAACAAAAAAAAAAACCCUUUACAUGAGUAAGUGUAAUUCUCAGAAAAUAAGAGAAAUAGCAUAUCAGAAAAAGACAUAGGAAGCAAAAGUGAUGCUUGCUGAAGAACAUCAGAAUGGGAAUUAGGAAACAAACUUCUAGAUUUGACUCCUUUGAAAACUAAUUCUGUGAUCUCUCUGGAACUCAGGUUCUUCAUCUUGUACGUGGGAUCAGAGGCUGGACGAUAAAUUAAUUAAGGUAUUUCAUUCUGGAAUUUUACUUACAGAAACCCCAGGUGCUGAGAUGUUUUCCAGGACUAGGAUGAAGUCUCCAUCUUGUGGCUAAAUUAAGUUCUGCAGUCACUCAACAUUAUGAACGUCAAGAUCCAAGUCAAUUUAGUGGAGCAGCGUAGAUUAGGUCAAUAGCUUCUGUGAGAAACAGAAACACAUCUUCUUAAUGCAAAUGCAGCAGGACAGGUUCAUUCGCAGCCAUUUGGAAAGGAAUUUAAACUUGGACAACGAACUGUGCAAAUAUAUUUAUUCAUUCUUUUACUAAAGAGAGGGCCUGUCUUAUCUUUUCCAGACUUGCAUUCCUUGGCUUGUGGCCCCUUCCUCCUUCUUCAAAGCCAGCAAUGUAGCAUCUUGCUUCAGCCCUCACAUUGCCUCAUUCUUAUCUGUCAAAUCUCUCUCUGCCUCACUCUUAUAAGGACACCUAGGUGAUCCAGAAUACUCCCAUCUCAAGAAUUUUUAAUUUAAUCACUUUUACCAUAUAACAUCCGCAGUUUCCAGAGAUUAGGAUCUGGAUAUCUUUGGAGACCAUUAUUAGUCUACCACUGGGAGAAAGUGAAGGGGGCUGGGGAAAGUGUUUCCAGGAACACAGUAGUCUGUCCAGCGCCCCUUCCACCACUAUCAUUGGUGAGAUCGUUGGUAGCAGCUGUGAGGUGUGAUAGAGACUGACUUUUCUCCAGUUCCAGGGGCUCCAACUGGCAAAAGCUCAUAACUGUUAUCAUCCCCCUGACUUCAGUGAUCUGCUCAGGAAAGGGCACUUGAACAAAUUCAGACCAGCUCAGGAGCCUCUACCCUCCACCCCCGUAGUUGUGGAAAAAGUUUUCAUAUCAGCUAUUCUGGAGGUAGCAAAAAGAAGGCCAAAAGAUUACAGCCCUUUUUGUUUGUUUGUUUGCUUGUAAGCCUUGUGGUUCUAUUUGACUUUUUAAAUUAUGCGCAUGAAUUACUUGGAGACAUUUUUUAAAUUGAAGUGGAAAAAAUAAUUUAAAAGGGAAAACUAACUAAAGUAAUAUAAUUUCAGAGUAUUGAUUAUUGUCCAGAAUAUGCUUUGUUUUAUUAUUUUGCUAAUAAAAUUAAAUUCACUGUACAUUGUUCCAGAAGUAUGUUGACUCUAAGGAAAAUGUUUUAAAUGGAAUAGCCUGAGGAUAUCAUUGUGGGGAAGUAUUGGAUGUCCUUGAUCUUUUCUGUUCAUUGUAGAUGUUUUCUAGAAGACAGCACAUCUUAAAGAUAUUUCAGGCUUCUUAUGAAGGAAACAGUAAACCUUUUACAAACUAUAUUUUCCAAUUUUCUUGUCUUUUCUUGAAGUACCACUGUACAACUCUUGUUGGAGAGCUACUGUAAUUAUUUGUGACAUGUUUUUCUUUGGCCAAUUCUCUAUGGCUUCUACUCAGUACAGCCACCUCAUAAGAACAUGAGAUCACCCUCUCUGCACGUGGCUUUUGGAAGCUGCCAUAACUUCAUGGGUUCAAAGCUGGGUUCUCUUGGGACCUGCUUCCAUGCAAUGGCAGUCAGUUCAUCAUCUGCUGUGGUUCAUUCCCUCAGCUUUUGACUCGGUCCUGGGUGUGCCUGAAAGAGAACCCUCUUCCCUCAUUGCUGUCCUGAAAAACAAAACCCUCUUCUAGUUCUCACUAGAAGAGUGACAUAUUGUUUUGGGGGAGGAAAGUAGUGUCUCCAUGUGUCACCUCGUUUCUCUCCAGGCACACAGUGCUCCAAGGUAAGGGAUGCUUACAAGCUAUAUGACAAUGAAUGCACAAAUUAUUCAAAGUGAAAGGGUUUUAAAGAUCAGUGAGUUCAAUGUCUCCUCAAAUGCGAAAAUGCCUGUCAGAAACUCCCUGACACAUCAUCAUCUUGCAUCAGAUACAGUAUUUCCAGUUAUAGGAAAGUCAUGACUGAAAUGCAUGGAAUCAGAUUUUUCAGAUUGAGAGGUCUAAAGUAGUAUUUCUCAAUGUGAUGUCAGUGGAACACUUGCAGCAGGGUCACCUGGGAUGUUCAUUUAGGAUUCAGAUCCUUGGGCCCUGUCACCUACUGAACCAUGCUGUCCAGGGAUAAAAUCCAAGCAUAUGCCUAGAAGAAAGACUUAUUAACUACACUGAAGAUUGAGAUUAAUUGUACUAGACUAACUCUCCUAUACAAUUCUCAAAAAACCUUGACAUCUAUUUGUUGAAUGUUAUGGCUUCUCCCUAGAAAAAGCCAGAUGUGUGCCUAAGUUGCCUGCUCCCCCACCCCCUGACAUUAUCAUAUAUUUAAUUAGAAAAGUCAAUGCCAUUGACUUUUUAAAGCCAAGGGCCUCCUAGAAUUAUGUUUUGCAAAAUGUGCUAUACACAUUGCUUAUGGUAUAUCAAGUAGUCCACAUAUGGUUAGGCAGUUUUGGAGAUAAAAAUGAUGAAACAAUCCUAUUUACACAUGUUUUAUAAAUUUGAAAUGUAAUAUUAAUUAUACUUUUUAAAUUCCACUGCAUUUUAAUGAUUAUAUCAUAAAAGUUGUAAAUGUGCUCCAAGAACUGCGUUGGUAAAUUUGUUUCAGCUGUCAUUCAGCUAACAGAGUCUUGUGAAAAUUUUCCAAUGUCACUUGUAUUCUAUUAGUUGUGAUUCUUGUUCUUAAAUUGCUGCGUGGAAACUAAUCUAUGGUGACAAUAAUCAGGGCUUGGGAAGGCUUGAUUGUAAACAGGCUCAUGACCCUGGGAACUUUUGGGGAUGCAGCAAUUAUUUUCUUAUAUUGAUUAUGUUGGUAGUUCCAUGGAUGUAGCUUGCCAAAACUCAUUAAACGAUACACUUCGAAUGAAUGCAUUUUAUCAUAUGUAAGUGAGACCUUGGUAAAGUUGAUUUUAAAAUGUGAAGUGUUGGCUGGGCGCAGUGGCUCAUGCCUGUAAUCCCAGCACUUUGGGAGACGGGGGGUGGGGGCGGGGGUGGAUCACGAGGUCAAGAGAUCGAGACCAUCCUGGACAACAUGGUGAAACCUCGUCUCUACUAAAAAAAAAAAAAAAAAAAAAAAAAAAAAAAAAAAAUUAGCUGGGCAUGGUGGGUGGCCCAGUCCUAGCUACUGGGGAGGCUGAGGCAGGAGAAUCACUUGAACCAGGGAGGCAGAGGUUGCAGUGAGCCAAGAUCGCACCACUGCACUCUAGCCUGGGCAACAGAGAGAAACUCCGUCUCAAAACAAAACAAAACAAAACAAAACAAAAACAAUAAGACGUGAAGUGUUAUAAUACCAAUUUACAAGAAAGCAUAUCAAAAAUGACUCAUUGAAGCAGGUGGUUAGUGAUUAAAAAUUUAAUGAAUAUACUACAAAUCAGAAAAAUACACUAGAUGUAAAUAAUAAAUAGAGCACCUGUGAAGACAGAGGUUGAUCUGUAUAUGCUGAGAGAAAUGAAGAUACAAGAGAAAUGAUGUCACCAGCUGAAAUGCUGUCACAUUGUUGUCUUCAUUCUUUUAGAAGAACUAAAGAAAUAAAAGAAUGAGCAUCUGAAAAUUAGAUUGUAUUGAUAAACAUUGAUCCAUUCACCCACCAGUCCCAUUGUGUUCUGUUACAAAGUUUUUCAAAAUGGCAUUGUGAAAUCUUUCAAGGGUUUGUGAAAAAUAAGGUAUAGCAUCUCUUUGGUGAGCCAAAUGAGUUUUUCUAAAAUAAGCUUGGUAAUUUUCACCCUAAAGUUGAUGUAUUUUAGUGUAAAAAAUGAAGAGGUAGUGAAGUGUAAUGGAGGGUGGGAGCCAGGCUCCUCACUGUUGGAGUGGGAAGUUACAGACGAGCAAAGGGAGGAGGCUAGAAUAAUCCAUGGGUAAUUGAUUAGAGUGGGAGACAUCUGUAUAAACUCAUAUUUAGCUUAAUAUAUAAAUAGUACAUGAAUAUUUAUAGAUGUAUCUGUACAUGGGUUAUAUAGAUACGUGUAUACAUGUAUUUCUCUAUUUUGUCAGCUGAGAGGAACUAGAGGUAAUAAAUGACACCCAAGUAGUAGCAAGUAAAGUUAGAACUCAGAUCCUGGUUUCUAAUACCAUUCUCUGAUAGAAGGAAUGAGGGCUCCUUGGAGCAAUGGAUGAUUCUAAGGAUGGAGGAGAAACAUCUUGCAAUGCUAGUAAUAAGGAAAUGCACAGAAAAACUGACACUGAUGGGCCUAUGCCAAGGAUACAGGAACUGACAGAAAGCUCCCAAUGGCCAAAGGCAGAACAAGCUGUGCAACAAAAUAAACAAAGUGGUACUGAAUUAUAACCCAAUAUAUAAAAUAAAUAUUGAUGGGUCUACACUGAUAUAAACAAAAUGACUGCAUAAAUAAAUAAAUGGAGAAGAAUAGCCAAAUCUCCAGUGCAGAAGAAUUUCAAAUAAUUUAUGCAGAUACUGUGAGGGUUAAUUUUGUGUGCUAACUUGGAGGAUGUUUUCAGAUGUGAUUAGCAUUUAAAUGGGUGCACUUUGAGUAAAGCAGAUUGUCCUCCAUUAUAUGGGUGGGUCUCAUCCAAUUAGUCGAACCAUGAAUCAAACCAAAAGACUGCCCUCCCCAAGCAGGAAGGAAUUCUUCAGUGGACUGCCUUUGGACUUCAUCUAUAUUCUUGGCUUACCUGAGUCUUGAGCCUGACAACCCACACUGCAGAUUUUUGACUUCCUGGCCUCCAGAAUUGCAUGAGCCAAUUCCUUAUAAUAAAUCCUUCUCUCCACAUAUACACACACAUACAUCCUAUUGGUUCCGAUUCUCUAUAGAACCCUGACUAAUACAGAUAAUUUGCAUUCAAGAAAAGUGAGCAUGAUUCGCAUUCCUUACGUGUGGGCUGCAUAUACUGACUUCCUUCCAAAGAGUACAGUGUGGAAAAUAGAGGGAGAAGAGUAACUUUACAGUGGAGAAGACUGGCAAACUACCUCAGCCAGGUGACCAAGGUCAACAUCAACAAUGACCAGUCAUGUUGAUGGUAUGUAUCCUUGAUAUCAUGAAAAUGGCACUGUACCUGUGAUCCUCCUCUCCUACCCCAUAAUCCCAGUCUAAUGAGAAAAACAUUAGACAAAUACAAAUUGAUGAAUAUUCUACAAAAAUACCUGACCAACACUCCUCAAAAGUGUCAAGGUAAUCAAAACCGAGGAAACUCAGAGACUUUCAAGGCCAAGAGGAGUCGAAGGAAACAGGACAAUUAAAUGUAGUAUGGUAUCCUGAAUAAGAUCUUGGGAGAGAAAAAGGACAUUAGGUAUAAACUAAAGCAAUCUAAAUGAAGUAUGGACUUUGGUUAAUGACAAUGUAUCUAUAUUGGUUCAUUAAUUGUGACAAAUAUACCAUAUUAAUAUAAGAUGUUACUAACAGAGGAAACUGUGUGGGGUACACAGGAUCUCUCUGUACUAGUUCCUUAAUUUUUCUGUAAAUGUAAAUCUACUCCAAAAUAAAAAGUUUGUUUAAAAAAAAAGAAAAAGGAGGAGGAGGAGGAUGAAAAGAUGGAAAAAAUAAACUAGGGAGGCACCUUUUAGAGUUCUACUUCUCACAGCAAAAAGAACUACAAGUUAUUCCACUACCAAGAAGCUUGCAGGGUUAGCCACAAAACCAAUGAUAAGUAUUGUACCUGGGAAAAUAAUCAAUUAAUCUUUGCAAUUCUAGUCAGAUCAUACUGUUGGACACCACAUCAUAGCAAUGGCACAUGAUAGAUUACAACAAAUGCUAUUGUUUAAAAAUUAUCCAAAAUGUAGAAAUAAAGCAAAAGAAGAUUGCUCGUGCUUUCAAUAUCAUAUACCAGACCAGCAUCUAUCAGGCCCAUCAAGCAUUAUUUCAUUUUUUAAAAGAUGGACUCUUGUUGAUUAACUACUUUCUGUUAAUUAAAGCCAAGACUCUGAAGUCACGUGUUAACUUGUAGAUUUUUGUCUAAUGGAGAUGCAAAACAUUAACUAGUUAUAUCUCUGACUUAGCAAAUUUAUUUUGGUAUUCCUUUCCUAAUAGACUGUGUAAUCUUUUUUUUCUCUAAUUUUUCUUUCAAUCAUUCUGUGCACGUUGCUGGUUUCCUCAUCAAUAAAUCAACAGCUCAUUGACACACAUUUGCUUUAUAUUUGUAUGAGUGUAAUGUUUUUAACUUUUUUUUAAAAAAUAUGCUUUUAUCGUGCAUGUUCAAGGAGCUAUUUUGUGUUGCAAUUAGAUGACAUAGAUCAC